CUCGAGUAUCCCGGAGUCGCCAUGCGGCAAUCGUCACGGGCCCGCUAACCGUCGGACGCUUACGCCGCCGAUCGACACUAUUUUAUAUUUUACUCGACGAUAAAAAUAUACCAUUUAUUAUAUUAUUAUUAAAUUUCAAAGCUCGUCACGUAAGCUCUACUACACUCCUUAUCGAAUUAUUUACAACUUUUUGUACUGUUAUAAUAUUAUUGUAUCGUAUGAGAUUGUGUUAAAUGUAAUGGUUUUUUGUUAAUUUGUUUUUUAUUUUUUUUUUUGCGACUUUUUCUUUCCUCUCUCAUAUUUUUUGUGUUUUCUAUUACUCAACACAAUGUCGACGUGAAUAUCGCGUUCUCACGGACUACACGAAACGCCGUUUAUUUACCGGCCGUUGUAGUUUUUAUGGAAGCCAACGAAAGCGCCGAAGUUCGGUCUACCGGCACGCCGCCGACCAACGGCGGUAACGGCGGGGGCAACUGUUGCGGCACGUCCCCUGCAGUCGGCGGCGGCGCUCCGGCGGAACAUACUUCCGGCACGAAGAUCUUGAGCAAGAAUUCGAACGGCACAAUGAUUAUGACAUCCAGUCCAAGUAACGAAGCUGAAUUACAAUUGUACAGGGUAAUGCAGAGAGCUAGUCUUUUAGCGUAUUACGACACACUACUCGAAAUGGGAGGUGAUGACUUGCAACAGCUUUGUGACGCCGGCGAAGAGGAAUUUCUUGAGAUAAUGGCACUGGUCGGUAUGGCGUCAAAACCACUACACGUCAGACGGUUGCAGAAAGCUUUGCACGAAUGGGUCAGCAACCCAACCAUGUUCCAAGCGCCGCUGACGUCCCCUGUCCCAGGUGGUGGUUCCAGUGCUAUCGUCCUGCCACCGAACCCGGUGCGGCCGUUUCUCAGCGUCUGCCCGAACCCGCUGAUUCAGACAUCCAUACACCACGGUUACUAUACACCACUAGGAUACGGUUACCAGCCGCCCACGUCACCAUCGCCCGUGCCCAGUUCGACCAACCAACUACCACAGGUUGCGCAAACGAGCGAAGCGACAACUUCGGCUGGACAACACUAUGGUGAUAGUAACAGUCCUGGCCAAAGUCCAGGAUCGCCGUUGCAGCUGUCCCCGUCACUGGAUGAAUCACAAAUCGCCCGGUUGGCUACGUCAGCUAAGCAACUAGUGCAAAGGCUACCGCAGUACCAACCCAAGGCACAAACAGCGAAACGGAAGGCGAACAAAGAACUCGAGUGCGUCAUGAACAUGCCGGAAGAAGAUCCUAGGCGCAUAGAAUCCAUUAGGAAGUAUUCGGCUAUUUACGGGCGGUUCGAUUGCAAAAGGAAACCAGAAAAACCUUUGACAUUGCACGAGGUGUCCGUAAACGAGGCUGCCGCACAGAUAUGCAAAUUGGUGCCUGCCCUGUUGACUAGACGAGACGAACUGUUCUCUUUAGCCCGACAAGUGGUCCGUGACUCGGGAUACCAUUACUCCAAAGGACAUUCCAAGUCAAGCAUGCUGCAGAGUUUCGGAGGAUUGACUUCGAACGGCGACUGUAGUUACGGGUCGAAGAGGCCCCGUCUGGACGAUCACGUCGAACUACUCAAAAUUCGGCGACAGGAACGAUUAGAUCAGAUCGCUGACGAACUAAAGGCAGUCAACGAUCGCCGAGAGGAGCUGGACCAGAGCACCAAAGAUGACCAGGCGGUCCUGCACCAGUUGGAAACCCUGAAGAAUCGCCAAGCGCAGCUGUUGGUGGAACAGAACGACCUGAGGCAAAACAAAUCGAUGCGAAGGGAGAGGAGCGGCGGAAGGACGUCGUCGUCGGCCGGUUUCGACACGGACGACACGGACUCUCAAAUGUCGUACAGCAAUACUAGUUCUCCAUUACAGGACAUUAGCGACUCGAGGGAUUCGAUGACUCGUUGCAGCGUCGACUACCACCACGACGGAAAACCAUCACAGAAUACCGGUAAUCAGGUAAAACGUGUUCACGGCGGUGAUGGCGAGUGCGGUAAAGGUAGCGGCACCGAUCCGCUUUGAGGUUUUUCGUCCCCCAAAACUAACACAAAAUAAUAGUUAUUCUGUCAGGAGACAAUAUUAAUAUGGUGCAUUCGUCUUGAAAAUUACGCACAUUGGUACAUUGCACAUACGUGCAUAUUUGGAAUUCGGAUCCAUCAUAAUAAUAUCAUUUUUCAUAUUUUUACUAAUACAGUGUGAAUAACGCCAAAUAACGCAUGGUCUAUAAAUGGUUGGGAAUUUCGCGGCAUGUGAACAUUUUUAGUUUAAUUACCUUCAAUAUUCGCUGAAAAAAAAAUAAUAUAUUUGAUACAAUUGACAAAAACGAAAACAUUAAUAUUAUAUAAAAAAAAAAACAGUCAUUAAUUUAAAAAAAAAAUAAUCAUUGCUUUAAAAUAUUUGAAAACUAUAUAGUUACAGGUGAUAUCACCUAUAAUUAUUACUGAAAUAUAUUUAUUUUGAAUAUCUUCAAACAAUAACAUGUUUCAAUAUCAAUAUUGUUGAACAUAUAUUUUUUUUUUAUAUUUUAUUUUUAUAAAAUAAUUAAUAUUUUAUAUUUUUGUUUCUAAAAAUUUGGUUUACUUGGAAUUACUAUUUAUUUUGUACAGAAAUAUUUUAACAUUUUAUUUUUUAUCAUAUUCUUAUUGUUCCUAAAAGAACAGAUUGUAUUACCGUAUAAAAAAUAAAAAUAAAAUAAAAAUAUUUUAACAAAAGAAAAUACGAUUCUCAAUAAAAACCUAACAAAUGAAAAUAAAUAUUCUCAGAAAAAUCUAACAAAUUAAAUUUAUUAUAAUAAAAUGUUUGACGUUAAUUUCGUAUUUAAUAUUAAAACAAAAUAUAACUAGGUACCUACUGUUAUAUUAGACUUUAGUAACAUCAAGAAACGAUGAUUUGCAGUAGGUACAGUGUUUCAAAGGAAUAGUGUUUCGAAAAUAAAAGUAUAACCUAUACGCGUUCAGAUUUAUUAAAUUGUGUUCUAAUUUAAAUUUAUUUACCUAUUUAUUUAUUUGAUGCCUAUUUCUUUUUAAAGUUAUAAGUCGUUCAUAUCCCAAGUGCUUUAAUUUUUAAAAUAUUGAAAAUCCAUAAUAAAAAAUAAUUAUUAUAUCAAGUAUGGAGGUACUUACAUACUUUAAAAUUAAAACUGAUCCUCGUGAGCCAUACAGUACCUACUUAAGUACGACGUUUUGAAUGAAAAAUCCGAACUUUGAAAUGGUAAUUCGUUUCGAUUCUAAAUAGAGUAGCAUAAAACACUAUACCAAAUAUGAAAAAUGCAUACUACUGUUGUAUAUUUUGAACGUAGCUAGAGUCGUUUGUUUUAAAUUUUUUUUUUUAAUAUUUAUUCUGUAUAUUAUGUAAAUAUCCCAUUAGAUGUGCAAAUUGUGUUAUUAUUUAACAGGCAUGUAUGUGUGUAUAUAUUAUAUAAUAUUAUGUAGGUACAUUAAUGUAAUUUACUAUUAAUUUAUGAUUCAUACUUGUGCGUCGUUAUUAACCAAAACCUUUUCAGUUUAUGUUUGUUUUAGCUUGUUUCGCUUUUGUUUUGUUUGUGUUUUUUCAAACCCCAGAGUAACUUGUCUCGCGGCGAUACAGACGACACGGACGAAGACGACGGAGAACCUCAGCGCCUUCGCCGCAGUCACAGUCCGUCCGCCCACAUAAACGGCAACAGACAUCUGGUUGAUCGGUUUUUCAACGACAAAG